rnacentral:tRNA from 2 species
UGGCUCGUAGCUCAGCGGGAGAGCACUACCUUGACACGGUAGGGGUCGCUGGUUCAAUCCCAGUCGAGCCAACCA